rnacentral:lncRNA from 1 species
CUGAAAAUCAAUCUUACAAAAGUGGUGAAAGACCUCUACAGUGAAAACUACAGAACAUUAAAAAAAGAAAUUGAAGAAAACCUCGAAGAUGCAAAGAUCUCCCAUGCUCUUGAAUAGGCAUAAUAAAUAUUGUCAAAGUAGCCAUACUAUCAAAAGCAUUAUAUAGAUUUAAUGCAAUUCCUAUUAAAACACCAAUGACAUUUUUUUAUAGAAAUAGAAAAAACAAUCAUGAAAUUUAUUUGGGAAAAAAUAAGAGACCUAGAAUAGCCAAAGUAAUCCUUAGCAAGAAAAGUGAAACAGGAAAUGUCACAAUACCAGAACUUAAAUUAUACUACAGUAUAGUAUAGUGACAAAAAUUUCAUGGUAUUGGCACAAAAAUAUACAUGUAGACUAAUGGUACAGAAUAGAGGAUGCAGAGAGAAACCCACAUAAAUACAGCUUUCUCAUACUAGACAAAGUUGCCAAAAAUAUUCACUGGAAAAAAGGUAGCCUCUUCAACAAAUGGUGCUGGCAAAAUUGGAAAUUCACAUGUAACAAAGUGAAAUUAAACCUCUAUCUCUCACCCUGCACAAAAAUCAACUCCAAGUGGAUCAAAUACUUAGACACUAGAACAGAGACUCUGUGCCUAAUAGAAGAAAAAGUAGGCCCAAAUCUUCACCAUGUUGUCCUAGCAUCUGACUUCCUUAACAAGACCCCUAAAGUGCAAGAAAUAAAAUCAAGGAUCAAUAAAUGGGAUGGAUUCAAAUUAAAAAGCUUCUUCUUAGCAAAGGAAACAAUCAAUAAUGUUUGAAGAUUGGGAGAAAAUCUUUACCACCUCCAAUAGAGCAUUAAUCUGUAGAAUAUAUAAAGAACUCAAGAAAUUUAACACCAAAAAAGCAAAACAAAACCAAAUAACCAAUCAAUAAAUGGCCUAAGGAACUGAACCAACACUUCAGAGAAGAAGAUAUACAAUCUAUCAACAAAUAUAUGAAAAAGUGUUCAAAAUAUUUGGCAAUUACAGAAAUGCAAAUCAAAACUACACUAAGAUUUUAUCUCACUCCUGUCAGAAUGGCAAUCAUCAAGAAUACAGGCAACAAUUAAUGUUGGCAAGGAUGUGGGGGGAAAGGUACAUUCCUACAUUGCUGGUGGGACUGCAAAUUGGUGCAACCACUAUGGAAAGCAGUAUGGAGAUUCCUCAGAAAAAUGGGAAUGAAACCACCAUUUGACCCAGUUAUCCUUCUCCUUGGUUUAUACCCAAAGAACUUAAAAUCAGCAUACUACAGUAAUGCAGCCACAUCAAUGUUUGUAGCAGC